AGCUCAAAUGAUGCUGUUAGCAACUACGUACGAUAUGUGUUUGCAAUGGCGCCUGGAAUACUAACUCUGGUAGGAUCCCUGUUGGUUUUGCUUCAUCAACCGUCAAACGUUUCCUGCAAAAGGAAAGGCCCACAGGAUGUUGAGGCUCAAGCUGUUCAGUCAUCAUCUAAUGUCCAAGUUCCUGAGUGUCAAUCUGAAAACAAAGCAACGUCAAACGUCAGCUUAGAAGCAAAUCAAAAUUCUUCUUUCGCGACGGCGUUUUCGUGUCCUGAAGACACAAAACUAUAAUUUGUUCAGAAUUAUUUUUACGCGUAGGUGAUGUUUUGUAGACCUUUACGUUUACUAACUUUUGAAAAGGCUAUGCCCGUAACUUCACGUUCGGGUUUUUCUUGAGGGAAGGAUUAUGUGACCACCAUUGCAGUUUACAGACGUUUGACACUGUUUGCCUUGAGUAAAUCUUCUCUGUCUAACAUUAGGAGAUAUGGUGGACCAAUUGACUAGAAAUUAUAUUACAAAAAAAAUCACUAUUAUAAAGAUGCAGUUUAACCAUCGUCUUGAAGAUAAUGGGAUGUGAACGAUUAACAUGACUGAGGAUUUUCAAACACGUUUCACUUAAUAACUAUUCCAAUCCCCUUCCUUAUGGUGAUGCAAGGUGGACCAGCAUUUUCAUAUCUGGUGACCACCAUUUUCAUCUAUUGUUAUCCUCAUAUCUUAGUCACUACUGUCUGCGGGGUUUGACGUCCAUUUAUACAAUACUUUAAAUAUGAAAGUCACGGAUGUGUUGAGCUAGAUUUCUCAACGUCCUCUGGCUAAGCUAAAGUACUUUCAGUUACUCUUGAAAUGUAUGCUAUAAAGCUUUGAAAAGUUCAAUAUUUCGGUGGAAAAAUUCUCGGAUGCUUUCUGAGGAAGAUAUGGUGAAUCAAUUUGCUAGCACAAUGCAAAAACUGUCAGUGUUCUAUGAUACAAAUAAAUACUCUGCCAGCUAUUCACGAA